UUCUGUAUAGACUCGAAGGUGCAUAGUU
rnacentral:sRNA from 1 species